rnacentral:rRNA from 1 species
UACGGAGGGUGCAAGCGUUAUCCGGAUUUACUGGGUUUAAAGGGUGCGCAGGCGGAUAUGUAAGUCAGUGGUGAAAUCUCUAGGCUUAACCUGGAAAUUGCCGUUGAUACUAUAUAUCUUGAAUGUUGUGGAGGUAAGCAGAAUAUGUCAUGUAGCGGUGAAAUGCUUAGAUAUGACAUAGAAUACCUAUUGCGAAGGCAGCUUACUACGCAGAUAUUGACGCUCAUGCACGAAAGCGUGGGGAUCAAACAGGAAUUAGAUACCCCCGGGUAGU